GACGAACGCUGGCGGCGUGCUUAACACAUGCAAGUCGAACGAUGAAGCCGGAGCUUGCUCUGGUGAAUUAGUGGCGAACGGGUGAGUAACACGUGAGUAACCUGCCCUUGACUCUGGGAUAACUGCUAGAAAUGGUAGCUAAUACCGGAUACGACCCUCGGAGGCAUCUUCAGGGGGUGGAAAGAAUUUCGGUCAAGGAUGGACUCGCGGCCUAUCAGCUAGUUGGUGGGGUAAUGGCUCACCGAGGCGACGACGGGUAGCCGGCCGGAGAGGGUGACCGGCCACACUGGGACUGAGACACGGCCCAGACUCCUACGGGAGGCAGCAGUGGGGAAUAUUGCACAAUGGGCGCAAGCCUGAUGCAGCAACGCCGCGUGAGGGAUGACGGCCUUCGGGUUGUAAACCUCUUUUAGUAGGGAAGAAGCGAAAGUGACGGUACCUGCAGAAAAAGCACCGGCUAACUACGUGCCAGCAGCCGCCGUAA
rnacentral:rRNA from 1 species